UACGUAGGGUGCAAGCGUUAAUCGGAAUUACUGGGCGUAAAGCGUGCGCAGGCGGUUGUGCAAGACAGAUGUGAAAUCCCCGGGCUUAACCUGGGAAUUGCAUUUGUGACUGUACGGCUAGAGUGCGGCAGAGGGGGAUGGAAUUCCGCGUGUAGCAGUGAAAUGCGUAGAUAUGCGGAGGAACACCGAUGGCGAAGGCAAUCCCCUGGGCCUGCACUGACGCUCAUGCACGAAAGCGUGGGGAGCAAACAGG
rnacentral:rRNA from 1 species